CAUCUAUACGGUGAAACUGCGAAUGGCUCAUUAAAUCAGUUAUCGUUUAUUUGAUAGUACCUUACUACUUGGAUAACCGUGGUAAUUCUAGAGCUAAUACAUGCUAAAAACCCCGACUUACGAAGGGGUGUAUUUAUUAGAUAAAAAACCAAUGCCCUUCGGGGCUCCUUGGUGAUUCAUAAUAACUUAACGAAUCGCAUGGCCUUGUGCCGGCGAUGGUUCAUUCAAAUUUCUGCCCUAUCAACUUUCGAUGGUAGAGUAGUGGUCUACCAUGGUUUCAACGGGUAACGGGGAAUUAGGGUUCUAUUCCGGAGAGGGAGCCUGAGAAACGGCUACCACAUCCAAGGAAGGCAGCAGGCGCGCAAAUUACCCAAUCCCGACACGGGGAGGUAGUGACAAUAAAUACUGAUACAGGGCUCUUUUGGGUCUUGUAAUUGGAAUGAGUACAAUUUAAAUCCCUUAACGAGGAACAAUUGGAGGGCAAGUCUGGUGCCAGCAGCCGCGGUAAUUCCAGCUCCAAUAGCGUAUAUUAAAGUUGUUGCAGUUAAAAAGCUCGUAGUUGAACCUUGGGCCUGGCUGGCCGGUCCGCCUCACCGCGUGCACUGGUCCGGCCGGGUCUUUCCUCCUGGGGAGCUGCAUGCCCUUCACUGGGUGUGUCAGGGAACCAGGACUUUUACUUUGAAAAAAUUAGAGUGUUCAAAGCAGGCCUAUGCUCGAAUACAUUAGCAUGGAAUAAUAGAAUAGGACGUGUGGUUCUAUUUUGUUGGUUUCUAGGACCGCCGUAAUGAUUAAUAGGGAUAGUCGGGGGCAUCAGUAUUCAAUUGUCAGAGGUGAAAUUCUUGGAUUUAUUGAAGACUAACUACU
rnacentral:rRNA from 1 species